rnacentral:rRNA from 1 species
AUUGAACGCUGGCGGCAGGCCUAACACAUGCAAGUCGAACGAGUGGCGGACGUGUGAGUAAUGUCUGGGCAACUGCCUGAUGGAGGGGGAUAACUCCUGGAAACAGUAGCUAAUACCGCAUACCAUCAGAUGUGCCCCGAUGGGAUUAGCUUGUUGGUGGGGUAACGGCUAACCAAGGCGACGAUCGCUAGCUGGUCUGAGAGGAGGACCGGCGACGCUGGGACUGAGGCACGGUGCAGACUCCUACGCGAGGCAGCAGUGGGGAAUAUUGCACAAUGGGCGCAAGGGUGAUGCAGCCAUGCCGCGGGUAUGAAGAAGGCCUUCGGGUUGUAAAGUACUGUCAGCGGGGAGGCGUUACCCGCAGAAGAAGCCCCGGCUAACUCCGUGCCAGCAGCCGCGGUAAUAC